UACGGGGGGGGCAAGCGUUGUUCGGAAUUACUGGGCGUAAAGGGCUCGUAGGCGGCCAACUAAGUCAGACGUGAAAUCCCUCGGCUUAACCGGGGAAUUGCGUCUGAUACUGGAUGGCUUGAAUCCGGGAGAGGGAUGCGGAAUUCCAGGUGUAGCGGUGAAAUGCGUAGAUAUCUGGAGGAACACCGGUGGCGAAGGCGGCAUCCUGGACCGGCAUUGACGCUGAGGAGCGAAAGCCAGGGGAGCAAACGGG
rnacentral:rRNA from 1 species